UGCAGUCGAACGAUGAAGCCUUUCGGGGUGGAUUAGUGGCGAACGGGUGAGUAACACGUGGGCAAUCUGCCCUUCACUCUGGGACAAGCCCUGGAAACGGGGUCUAAUACCGGAUAACACUCUGUCCCGCAUGGGACGGGGUUAAAAGCUCCGGCGGUGAAGGAUGAGCCCGCGGCCUAUCAGCUUGUUGGUGGGGUAAUGGCCUACCAAGGCGACGACGGGUAGCCGGCCUGAGAGGGCGACCGGCCACACUGGGACUGAGACACGGCCCAGACUCCUACGGGAGGCAGCAGUGGGGAAUAUUGCACAAUGGGCGAAAGCCUGAUGCAGCGACGCCGCGUGAGGGAUGACGGCCUUCGGGUUGUAAACCUCUUUCAGCAGGGAAGAAGCGAAAGUGACGGUACCUGCAGAAGAAGCGCCGGCUAACUACGUGCCAGCAGCCGCGGUAAUACGUAGGGCGCAAGCGUUGUCCGGAAUUAUUGGGCGUAAAGAGCUCGUAGGCGGCUUGUCACGUCGGAUGUGAAAGCCCGGGGCUUAACCCCGGGUCUGCAUUCGAUACGGGCUAGCUAGAGUGUGGUAGGGGAGAUCGGAAUUCCUGGUGUAGCGGUGAAAUGCGCAGAUAUCAGGAGGAACACCGGUGGCGAAGGCGGAUCUCUGGGCCAUUACUGACGCUGAGGAGCGAAAGCGUGGGGAGCGAACAGGAUUAGAUACCCUGGUAGUCCACGCCGUAAACGUUGGGAACUAGGUGUUGGCGACAUUCCACGUCGUCGGUGCCGCAGCUAACGCAUUAAGUUCCCCGCCUGGGGAGUACGGCCGCAAGGCUAAAACUCA
rnacentral:rRNA from 1 species